rnacentral:rRNA from 1 species
UGGGGAAUAUUGCACAAUGGGGGGAACCCUGAUGAAGCGACGCCGCGUGAGUGAAGAAGUAUUUCUGUAUGUAAAGCUCUAUCAGCAGGGAAGAUAAUGACGGUACCUGACUAAGAAGCNCCGGCUAACUACGCGGCAGCAGGCGCGGUAAUACGUAGGGGGCAAGCGUUAUCCGGAUUUACUGGGUGUAAAGGGUGCGUAGGUGGCAGGGCAAGUCAGAUGUGAAAGCCCGGGGCCCAACCCCGGUACUGCAUUUGAAACUGUCCAGCUGGAGUGCAGGAGAGGUAAGCGGAAUUCCUAGUGUAGCGGUGAAAUGCGUAGAUAUUAGGAGGAACACCAGUGGCGAAGGCGGCUUACUGGACUGUAACUGACACUGAGGCACGAAAGCGUGGGGAGCAAACAGG